UACGUAUGUCCCGAGCGUUAUCCGGAUUUAUUGGGUUUAAAGGGUGCGUAGGUGGUUUCUUAAGUCAGUGGUGAAAGUUUGUCGCUCAACGAUAAAAUUGCCAUUGAAACUGGGGAACUUGAGUAUGUUUGAGGUAGGCGGAAUGCGUGGUGUAGCGGUGAAAUGCAUAGAUAUCACGCAGAACUCCAAUUGCGAAGGCAGCUUACUAAACCAUAACUGACACUGAAGCACGAAAGCGUGGGUAUCAAAC
rnacentral:rRNA from 1 species